UACGUAGGGUGCGAGCGUUAAUCGGAAUUACUGGGCGUAAAGCGUGCGUAGGCGGUUCGCUGUGUCCGAUGUGAAAGCCCCGGGCUUAACCUGGGAAUGGCAUUGGAAACUGGCGGGCUUGAGUGUGGCAGAGGGGGGUGGAAUUCCGCGUGUAGCAGUGAAAUGCGUAGAGAUGCGGAGGAACACCGAUGGCGGAAGGCAGCCCCCUGGGUUAACACUGACGCUCAGGCACGAAAGCGUGGGGAGCAAACAGG
rnacentral:rRNA from 1 species